rnacentral:misc_RNA from 1 species
UGUGGGAGCGAGCUUGCUCGCGAUGGCGAUGUGUCAGUCGAUAGCUGUUUUGGACGAUAUACCGCCAUCGCGAGCAGGCUCGCUCCCACA